AGAGUUUGAUCCUGGCUCAGAUUGAACGCUGGCGGCAUGCUUUACACAUGCAAGUCGAACGGGGUGGAGGGGCAACUCUUCAUUCAGUGGCGAACGGGUGAGUAAUGCAUCGGAACGUGUCCCGUAGUGGGGGAUAACGCCGCGAAAGCGGCGCUAAUACCGCAUACGCUCUGUGGAGGAAAGCAGGGGACCUGAAAGGGCCUUGUGCUAGGGGAGCGGCCGAUGUCCGAUUAGCUAGUUGGUGGGGUAACGGCCUACCAAGGCUGCGAUCGGUAGCUGGUCUGAGAGGAUGAUCAGCCACACUGGGACUGAGACACGGCCCAGACUCCUACGGGAGGCAGCAGUGGGGAAUUUUGGACAAUGGGGGCAACCCUGAUCCAGCCAUGCCGCGUGCGGGAAGAAGGCCUUCGGGUUGUAAACCGCUUUUAGCCGGGAAGAAAAGGCCAAGGCCAAUACCCUUGGUUUUUGACGGUACCGGCGGAAUAAGCACCGGCUAACUACGUGCCAGCAGCCGCGGUAAUACGUAGGGUGCGAGCGUUAAUCGGAAUUACUGGGCGUAAAGCGUGCGCAGGCGGUUCGUUGUGUCGGUGGUGAAAGCCCCGGGCUCAACCUGGGAAUGGCCAUGGAAACUGGCGAACUGGAGUGUGGCAGAGGGGGGUGGAAUUCCGCGUGUAGCAGUGAAAUGCGUAGAGAUGCGGAGGAACACCGAUGGCGAAGGCAGCCCCCUGGGCUAGCACUGACGCUCAGGCACGAAAGCGUGGGG
rnacentral:rRNA from 1 species